rnacentral:rRNA from 1 species
CCUACGGGAGGCAGCAGUGAGGAAUAUUGGUCAAUGGACGCAAGUCUGAACCAGCCAAGUAGCGUGCAGGAUGACGGCCCUCCGGGUUAUAAACUGCUUUUAGUUGGGAAUAAAAGGGGGCUCGUGAGCCCCGUAUUGUAUGUAUCAUCAGAAAAAGGACCGGCUAAUUCCGUGCCAGCAGCCGCGGUAAUACGUAAGGUCCGGGCGUUAUCCGGUUUUAUUGGGUUUAAAGGGUGCGUAGGCGGAAUGCCAAGUCAGCGGUAAAAUCGCGGGGCUCAACCUCGCUCCGCCGUUGUAACUGGCGUUCUUGAGUGGGCGAGAAGUAUGCGGAAUGCGUGGGGUAGCGGUGAAAUGCAUAGAUAUCACGCAGAACUCCGAUUGCGAAGGCAGCAUACCGGCGCCCAACUGACGCUGAAGCACGAAAGCGUGGGUAUCGAACAGGAUUAGAUACCCCAGUAGUC